rnacentral:tRNA from 1 species
GAAAGGACCGGCAAUAAAAUAGGGCUGCUAACUUUGUUUUGGGUGGUUCAACUCCAUCCUCUUUCUUA